rnacentral:rRNA from 1 species
AUUGAACGCUGGCGGCAUGCCUUACACAUGCAAGUCGAACGGUAACGGGCCUACGGGUGCCGACGAGUGGCGAACGGGUGAGUAAUACAUCGGAACGUGCCCGAUCGUGGGGGAUAACGAGGCGAAAGCUUUGCUAAUACCGCAUACGAUCUACGGAUGAAAGCAGGGGACCGCAAGGCCUUGCGCGGACGGAGCGGCCGAUGGCAGAUUAGGUAGUUGGUGGGAUAAAAGCUUACCAAGCCGACGAUCUGUAGCUGGUCUGAGAGGAUGAUCAGCCACACUGGGACUGAGACACGGCCCAGACUCCUACGGGAGGCAGCAGUGGGGAAUUUUGGACAAUGGGCGCAAGCCUGAUCCAGCCAUGCCGCGUGCAGGAUGAAGGCCUUCGGGUUGUAAACUGCUUUUGUACGGAACGAAAAGCCUUCUUUUAAUACAGGAGGGUCAUGACGGUACCGGAAGAAUAAGCACCGGCUAACUACGUG